GGCCUGAGGGGAGGCUCUGAGGGGAUUUCAAGAGGGUUUCAGGGGGGUGGGGCGGCCUCGAUAACCGAUUCCCCUCUCCCCGGGCUAACGGGGAGCGGCCCGGAGCUCUUCCUGCGGCGCCGUUCCCCUCACGGCGCAGCCGCUCUGUGCGUCCCUGAGGAGUUCCGGGAGGGGUCAGCGCCUUCCCCAGGGGCCUGCUCGGGGAUGAAUCUCUCACAGACCUGUGCUGAUGGCGCGGUGAAGAAUUUGGAGUUCUCUGAGGGCUAGUCCUGCUCCGGCCUGGGGGUUGGCUGCACCAUGAUGGUCACAUCUUUGUCUCUAACGCCUUUUAUUUUUUGUUUCUUUUUUAGUAUUCAAGCCCGAAAAACAAUGCUUCUCUCGGAGCAUGGAAUCCUCAUCCGCGGGUUCCCUGUGGCCCCUCCCCAGCGUGGGGGAAACCUCAGCCCGGGGUGAGCUUCAGGGCACCCUGAAGUGACCACAAUGACCCGAGCUCAGCCGCGGGAGCUGAGGAUCCCCUGAGCCCCCUGGAUUCAAUCCCGUUGGGGUGAGCCCCUUUCCCCAUGGGGCAGAGCCGGGGGUCCCGAGGCCAGCUCGUGACUUUGGGGGGCACAAGGUGGCAUCAACCUCGGACACACCUGGAGCCAGGUGCUGCAGCUCUCGGGGGGCUCAGCUCUUGGAUCAUCGAUGCAAAUCAAAGAACUUCUCAUCAAUAUAAAUAAAAAUCGCUAUUUUUGUUAAAAA